rnacentral:rRNA from 1 species
UACGUAGGGGGCAAGCGUUGUCCGGAAUCAUUGGGCGUAAAGCGCGUGUAGGCGGUCCGGUAAGUCCGCUGUGAAAGUCGGGGGCUCAACCCUCGAAUGCCGGUGGAUACUGUCGGGCUAGAGUGCGGAAGAGGCGAGUGGAAUUCCUGGUGUAGCGGUGAAAUGCGCAGAUAUCAGGAGGAACACCUAUUGCGAAGGCAGCUCGCUGGGACGUUACUGACGCUGAGACGCGAAAGCGUGGGGAGCGAACAGG